rnacentral:rRNA from 1 species
CAAUAGCGUAUAUUUAAGUUGCUGCAGUUAAAAAGCUCGUAGUUGGAUUUCGGGUGGGAAUGGCCGGUCCGCCGUUUCGGUGUGCACUUGCUACGCCCACCUUGCUGCCGGGGACGUGCUCUUGAGUUCACGCUCGGGACACGGAGUCGGCGAGGUUACUUUGAGUAAAUUAGAGUGUUCAAAGCAGGCCUACGCUCUGAAUACAUUAGCAUGGAAUAACACGAUAGGACUCUGGACUAUCUUGUUGGUCUGUAGGACCGGAGUAAUGAUUAAGAGGGACAGUCGGGGGCAUUCGUAUUUCAUUGUCAGAGGUGAAAUUCUUGGAUUUAUGAAAGACGAACUACUGCGAAAGCAUUUGCCAAGGAUGUUUUCAUUAA